AAAAAACAAAAAAAAGACAUGAAAUAUAUUAUAUAUACAUCACAAAUACACAAUUUUAUCCAUUAUAUACAUUAGAAAUACAGACUUUAUCCACUUGAUACAUCACAACACACAGCAGUGAAUUGAAGUCAUACACAGGCUUAAUCCAUACAGAUCAACUAUUAUCUCAAAAGCAGCCACUAUUGUCUCCUUGUCCUACAUAAUUAUCACCAGCCCAGGAUUAGCACUGUCACCUGUAGUUUCUAACAUCUAUAGGCGACAUCACCUGUCAGAGCCACAUCAUGAGUGCAAAACCAAUUAAUAAUGGUAAAAAUAGUAAAAAGAAAUGAAGUUAAAAGGAACAACCUAUCCAGAUUGCAUAGAACACACAAAGAGAAACAUGCACAUAAAUCAUAGUUCUCAAGAAACAAAGAAUCUACAGAAGAGCCCAAAAUCAUGUUUCACUAUUGAACUUGGUAGCACAUUACCCGAGCAAGAAAGUACAAGUACUGAAGAACAGAAGAGACAUAUCAAAGAUACCGUAGAAACAACCUGAAAAAUUUCAAAAUUAACUCAAAAGCUAAUCAAAGACAGUACAAGUACUCAAAUUGCAUAGAACACAUGAAGCACAGAAGAGACAUAUCAAAGACACUGUAGAAACAACUACCUUAGAAUUCACUACCGCUGGAACUAUCAUUGCUGAAACAUGCAAGAGAUAAAACUGAAAGCUCAGCUAAUCAGAAAAAAAUUCCCUAACAGUUCAAUUCACCACAACACUCAUCGAGAACAUGGUAGAAGCAUCAUAGUCAUAAUCUCCUAUUUUGUUUGAGAUGGACAACAUCAUCAUGUUACCUUUAUCAGGAUUAACUGCCGUGCACCUCUCUUUUUCUUCUGGCUGCAGCUUUACAAUCCAUCAAAAACUUAGAUAAAUUUAACUAAAAGAAAACCAUCCAAUCAUGAUGCAGAUAACUGACUGAUCAGAGGAUGCACACCUAGAUCAGAGAACUUAGAUAAUCAACUAUGAGGAACACCCUAUUCCUAGCAAUUUUAAAGCUUGGCAGAACAAUUUCCUUGAACAAAGAAUACACACAAAGAAGUAUCCAAUGUUAACUGUUAACCAUUAGGAGGCACUUGAGCUUCUCAGAAGUCAGAACUGAUGAACUGAUCCCUCCUGAUCUGCAGACAGAGAAAGACCAUUUU
rnacentral:lncRNA from 1 species